GGAGGCGUCGCAUAGUGGUCUAGUGCGUUCGCUUGGAAAGCGAAUAGGCUGAAAGGCCUCAGAGGUUCGAAUCCUCUCGCCUCCG
rnacentral:tRNA from 1 species